rnacentral:rRNA from 1 species
GAUGAACGCUGGCGGCGUGCCUAAUACAUGCAAGUCGAGCGAAGCGGGGACGGGUGAGUAACACGGGGAUAACCUCCUAUAAGACUGGGGUAACUUCGGGAAACCGGAGCUAAACCGGAAACUUAUAGAUGGAUCCGCGCUGCAUUAGCUAGUUGGUAAGGUAAUGGCUUACCAAGGCAACGAUGCAUAGCCGAGCUGAGAGGAUGAGCGGCAACACUGGAACUGAGACACGGUCCAGACUCCUACGGGAGGCAGCAGUGGGGAAUCUUCCGCAAUGGGCGAAAGCCUGACGGAGCAACGCAGCGUGAGUGAUGAAGGUCUUCGGAUCGUAAAGCUCUGUUAUUAGGGAGGCGGUACCUACUGAGAAAGCCACGGCUAACUCCGUGCCAGCAGCCGCGGUAAUUC